GUGCUUGCUUGGGUAGCACACAUACUAUAAUUGGAACAAUGCAGAGAAAAUUAGCAUGGCCCCUGUACUA
ensembl:snRNA U6 U6 spliceosomal RNA